rnacentral:rRNA from 1 species
GGGGAAUAUUGGACAAUGGGCGAAAGCCUGAUCCAGCCAUGCCGCGUGAGUGAUGAAGGCCCUAGGGUUGUAAAGCUCUUUUGUGCGGGAAGAUAAUGACGGUACCGCAAGAAUAAGCCCCGGCUAACUUCGUGCCAGCAGCCGCGGUAAUACGAAGGGGGCUAGCGUUGCUCGGAAUCACUGGGCGUAAAGGGUGCGUAGGCGGGUCUUUAAGUCAGAGGUGAAAUCCUGGAGCUCAACUCCAGAACUGCCUUUGAUACUGAGGAUCUUGAGUUCGGGAGAGGUGAGUGGAACUGCGAGUGUAGAGGUGAAAUUCGUAGAUAUUCGCAAGAACACCAGUGGCGAAGGCGGCUCACUGGCCCGAUACUGACGCUGAGGCACGAAAGCGUGGGGAGCAAAC